rnacentral:rRNA from 1 species
CCUACGGGUGGCUGCAGUGGGGGAUAUUGCACAAUGGGGGGAACCCUGAUGCAGCGACGCCGCGUGGGUGAAGAAGCGCCUCGGCGCGUAAAGCCCUGUCAGCAGGGAAGAAAAUGACGGUACCUGAAGAAGAAGCCACGGCUAACUACGUGCCAGCAGCCGCGGUAAUACGUAGGGGGCAAGCGUUAUCCGGAUUGACUGGGUGUAAAGGGCGUGUAGGCGGGAAAGCAAGUCAGAUGUGAAAACCAUGGGCUCAACCUGUGGCCUGCAUUUGAAACUGUUUUUCUUGAGUACUGGAGAGGCAGCCUGACUUCCUCGUGUAGCGGUUAAAUGCGUAGAUAUUAGGCGGCACACCAGUGGC